CAGAGGAGAAAGAUUGAGGCGGGAGCGCAAGGAUUCUCCCUCAGCUGCAUAAAACAACUCCCAGCAGAUUUCAGACAUUAAACCGGAACAGCAGGAGGCUGAGUUGGUGAAGCUGUCUGACCAAAAACCUGCUUGAGAUUCAGAAGAGCCAGAAGAAAAGUCAUUACAAAUGGAAUCAGCGACAUGGUUUUUAUUAAGUCUGGAUGCCUGCUGCAUUGUGCGAACAUGAAGGGGGAACAUUUUGUCCAAUGAGACCAGGCACCUGUUUCUACUCCGUAUAAACGAACUUCUUACCCUUUCUCCCUGCGAGAGACAAACAGAAGUUACAGACAACUCAGUUUAGAUUGAUUUCAGACUUGGCAGCGGCUCACACUGUGAAAAGAGAAAAUCCAUCUCCAGUUGCACACCAACGCCCAGGGUGA